rnacentral:tRNA from 1 species
GGGAAUGUAACUCAGCGGCACAGUGCCUGCCUGGCAAGCACGAGGACCUGAGUUUGAUUCUCUGUACCA